UACGAAGGGUGCAAACGUUGCUCGGAAUUACUGGGCGUAAAGCGCGUGUAGGCGGUUGUUCAAGUCGGGUGUGAAAGCCUUGAGCUCAACUCAAGAAAUGCACUCGAUACUGGAUGACUUGAGGACCGGAGAGGAUAGUGGAAUUCCCAGUGUAGUGGUGAAAUACGUAGAGAUUGGGAAGAACACCAGUGGCGAAGGCGGCUAUCUGGACGGUUUCUGACGCUAAGACGCGAAAGCGUGGGGAGCAAACAGG
rnacentral:rRNA from 1 species